rnacentral:rRNA from 1 species
CAUGUGCGCAAGGUCCCCACUAUAGUGUUUAAAAUCGACUUCCGCAAAGCCUUUGACUCUGUCAACUGGUCAAGCCUUCUCACGAUCUUGUCUGUGCGCGGGUUUGACGACCGUUGGUGUGGAUGGAUCCAUGCCAUCCUCUCAACCGGGCACACGUCAGUUCUCCUUAACAAUGUUCCCGGGGACUGGAUCCUUUGCUGCAACGGCCUCCACCAAGGCAAUGCCCUAUCCCCUUAUCUCUUUAUUAUUGUGGCUGAUGUCCUUCAGCACCUGAUCAGGACGGCCAGCGCUACCGGGCAGCUAGCGCACCCAAUCGACGCCUCCCUCCCUUUCCCUGUCCUGCAAUACGCCGAUGAUACCCUUAUCCUUUGUCGCGCCGACAUUCCCUCCGUCACACUUCUCAAAAAAACUCUCGAUGCCUUUGCCCUCGCGACCAGGCUUUCUAUUAAUUUUCAUAAGUCUGGGUUCAUUCCCAUGCAUUGCGCCCCCGAGCUGUCAACCGAAAUGGCCUCGAUCCUCGGAUGCCCUAUUUCCACCUUUCCCCAGCCCUACCUCGGUCUUCCUCUCUCCCAUCUCAAACUCCCGUCUCUGCAUAUGACCCCCUCAUCAGGUCCUUUGACCGCUAUUUGUCCGGGUGGCGCGCUCUUCUCCUUUCCUCACACGGUAGGCUUGUCCUCUGCAACGCGGUUCUAA